CAAAACUAGAAACAACCCAAAUGCUCAGCAACAGUAUAUGAGAUGCUCGUUACACAGAUGUACGCUGUUUGUGAAAAGUCACGGAGCUUUACAGGAAGUCCAAAUUACAGUGGCUUAAAGAAGAUAGGGGCUUACUCUCCUCCUGAAAUGGAAGUUCUGAAAGAGGCACUUAUGGACUGUCUGGCAGCUGAAGAAUAUAUGGGCUAAGAUUGCUAGAAAUCUCUCGGCUUUUUUUCUGAAAGUCUCUAUAAUACUGGAUCAGCUCCAAGGCAUCAUGUAUAAUUUCCAGGCAAGAAGAAAAAGCAAUGAGCAAAAGGCCUUCCUAAAAACAUCCAAACAUUUCUGUCUACACCUCACUGACCAGCCUAUGUCACAUAGCUACUUCAGCUAAAUGAGAGACAAAUGCUUUAGCUAGGCCUACU